rnacentral:rRNA from 1 species
UACGUAGGCAGCGAGCGUUGUUCGGAGUUACUGGGCGUAAAGGGUGUGUAGGCGGUUGCUUAAGUUUGGUGUGAAAUCUCCCGGCUCAACUGGGAGGGUGCGCCGAAUACUGAGUGACUCGAGUGCGGGAGAGGAGAGUGGAAUUCCUGGUGUAGCGGUGAAAUGCGUAGAUAUCUGCAGGAACACCCGUGGCGAAAGCGGCGCGCUGGACCACUACUGACGCUGAGGAACGAAAGCUAGGGGAGCAAACAGG